rnacentral:rRNA from 1 species
UGCCAGCAGCCGCGGUAAUACGGAGGGUCCAAGCGUUAUCCGGAAUCAUUGGGUUUAAAGGGUUCGCAGGCGGCCUAUUAAGUCAGUGGUGAAAUCUCUCGGCUCAACCGAGAAACUGCCAUUGAUACUGAUAGGCUUGAAUAUAGUUGGAGUAGGCGGAAUGUGUAGUGUAGCGGUGAAAUGCUUAGAUAUUACACAGAACACCGAUAGCGAAGGCAGCUUACUAAACUGAUACUGACGCUGAGGCGCGAAAGCGUGGGGAGCAAACAGGAUUAGAUA